rnacentral:rRNA from 1 species
UACAGAGGGUGCGAGCGUUAAUCGGAAUUACUGGGCGUAAAGCGUGCGUAGACGGCUAUCUAAGUCGGGUGUGAAAGCCCCGGGCUCAACCUGGGAACUGCAUUCGAUACUGGACGGCUAGAGUAUGAGAGAGGGAGGUAGAAUUCCACGUGUAGCGGUGAAAUGCGUAGAUAUGUGGAGGAAUACCGGUGGCGAAGGCGGCCUCCUGGUUCAAUACUGACGCUGAGGUGCGAAAGCGUGGGGAGCAAACAGG